rnacentral:rRNA from 1 species
UAUUGAGUGGGUGAUGGGGGAGGGGGAAAAAAAAAAUAAUUAACCGGGGACUGUAAGGUUUAAAAAAAUAAAGAAAGAGCGGGAAGGGGAAAAUCACCAACCACGAGGAAUAUUAUAAGAAGUUGGUAGGGGGAGCAAGAAGGAAGAGGGAAAUGAGAGGAGUAAAAAAAGAAAAAUCGGGAAAUUAAUAGCCGCGAGACAUAUCGGGGAGGAAUAUCGUACGUAAUUUUUUUUUCGGGGGGGUGAGUAACGCGUGAGAAUUUGCAUUCAGGUCGGGGACAACCACUGGAAACGGUGGCUAAUACCGGAUGUGCCGAGAGGUAAAAGGCUUGCUGCCUGAAGAUGAGCUCGCGACUGAUUAGCUAGUAGGUGUGGUAAGAGCGCACCUAGGCGACGAUCAGUAGCUGGUCUGAGAGGAUGAUCAGCCACACUGGGACUGAGACACGGCCCAGACUCCUACGGGAGGCAGCAGUGGGGAAUUUUCCGCAAUGGGCGAAAGCCUGACGGAGCAAUACCGCGUGAGGGAGGAAGGCUCUUGGGUUGUAAACCUCUUUUCUCAAGGAAUAAGAAAGUGAAGGUACUUGAGGAAUAAGCAUCGGCUAACUCCGUGCCAGCAGCCGCGGUAAUACGGAGGAUGCAAGCGUUAUCCGGAAUGAUUGGGCGUAAAGAGUCCGUAGGUGGUUGUGAAAGUCUGCGGUCAAAGAGCAAGGCUCAACCUUGUAAAGGCAGUGGAAACUACACAGCUAGAGUGCUUUCGGGGCAGAAGGAAUUCCUGGUGUAGCGGUGAAAUCCCCCGAGAUCUCUAAGAACGGGCGGUGACGCGCGACAAUGGGAUUAGAUACACACAGUCUUCUCGGUCGGGUAGCGGCCGAAAA